rnacentral:rRNA from 1 species
GACGAACGCUGGCGGCGUGCCUAAUACAUGCCAGUCGAGCGAGCGGAACUAACAGAUUUACUUCGGUAAUGACGUUAGGAAAGCGAGCGGCGGAUGGGUGAGUAACACGUGGGGAACCUGCCCCAUAGUCUGGGAUACCACUUGGAAACAGGUGCUAAUACCGGAUAAGAAAGCAGAUCGCAUGAUCAGCUUUUAAAAGGCGGCGUAAGCUGUCGCUAUGGGAUGGCCCCGCGGUGCAUUAGCUAGUUGGUAAGGUAAAGGCUUACCAAGGCGAUGAUGCAUAGCCGAGUUGAGGGAGUGAUCGGCCACAUUGGGACUGAGACACGGCACAAACUCCUACGGGAGGCAGCAGUAGGGAAUCUUCCACAAUGGACGCAAGUCUGAUGGAGCAACGCCGCGUGAGUGAAGAAGGUUUUCGGAUCGUAAAGCUCUGUUGUUGGUGAAGAAGGAUAGAGGUAGUAACUGGCCUUUAUUUGACGGUAAUCAACCAGAAAGUCACGGCUAACUACGUG